UGGGGAAUAUUGCACAAUGGGCGGAAGCCUGAUGCAGCAACGCCGCGUGCGGGAUGACGGUCUUCGGGUUGUAAACCGCUUUCGCCUGUUACGAAGCGUGAGUGACGGUAAUGGGUAAAGAAGCACCGGCUAACUACGUGCCAGCAGCCGCGGUGAUACGUAGGGUGCGAGCGUUGUCCGGAUUUAUUGGGCGUAAAGGGCUCGUAGGUGGUUGAUCGCGUCGGAAGUGUAAUCUUGGGGCUUAACCCUGAGCGUGCUUUCGAUACGGGUUGACUUGAGGAAGGUAGGGGAGAAUGGAAUUCCUGGUGGAGCGGUGGAAUGCGCAGAUAUCAGGAGGAACACCAGUGGCGAAGGCGGUUCUCUGGGCCUUUCCUGACGCUGAGGAGCGAAAGCGUGGGGAGCGAACA
rnacentral:rRNA from 1 species